GCCCGUUAGCUUAUUCGGAAAUAGCCUAUUUUAAAAGCCUAAGGCUAAUAGAAAAGAGGGUUGGCGAAUUGUGAAUAAUGAUGUUCUUAGAUGGAAAUACCAAACAAAGUUUUUUUUUUUUUUUUGAACACCCAGGCGAAGUAUUGUUGUAAAAUACCAAAAAAAGUAUUGUUGUAAAAUUUAAGCUCGUAAUCCAUUUCUCAAAUUACCUUCUUGAAGUGCUCAAAAGCCUCUCUUUUUUUUUUUGAACAACUCUCAAAAGCCUCCUAAUAAACCUUUUAUUGAUACACUGUCCCUGAGCUUUCUUGGACUAGACAGGAGCCAAAUGUUCCAGAGCUCUUUAGCUUUCACGGUGAAAUUUAACAAUUAGACAACGGUUUUCAGGAAAACCCAUAUUAUGGAUUAGUGAAUUAAAAA
rnacentral:lncRNA from 1 species